UGUAAAAAUAGCUUAUAGAUAGAGCAUAACAUUGAAGCUGUUAAGGAGAUUUUAAAUCUUUAAAUAUUUAUAA
rnacentral:tRNA from 1 species